AUUGAACGCUGGCGGCAUGCCUUACACAUGCAAGUCGAACGGCAGCACGGGUGCUUGCACCUGGUGGCGAGUGGCGAACGGGUGAGUAAUACAUCGGAACAUGUCCUGUAGUGGGGGAUAGCCCGGCGAAAGCCGGAUUAAUACCGCAUACGAUCCACGGAUGAAAGCGGGGGACCUUCGGGCCUCGCGCUAUAGGGUUGGCCGAUGGCUGAUUAGCUAGUUGGUGGGGUAAAGGCCUACCAAGGCGACGAUCAGUAGCUGGUCUGAGAGGACGACCAGCCACACUGGGACUGAGACACGGCCCAGACUCCUACGGGAGGCAGCAGUGGGGAAUUUUGGACAAUGGGCUAAAGCCUGAUCCAGCAAUGCCGCGUGUGUGAAGAAGGCCUUCGGGUUGUAAAGCACUUUUGUCCGGAAAGAAAUCCUUGACUCUAAUACAGUCGGGGGAUGACGGUACCGGAAGAAUAAGCACCGGCUAACUACGUG
rnacentral:rRNA from 1 species